rnacentral:rRNA from 1 species
AGUGAACGCUGGCGGUAGGCCUAACACAUGCAAGUCGAACGGCAGCACAGUAAGAGCUUGCUCUUACGGGUGGCGAGUGGCGGACGGGUGAGGAAUAUAUCGGAAUCUACUCUUUCGUGGGGGAUAACGUAGGGAAACUUACGCUAAUACCGCAUACGACCUACGGGUGAAAGCAGGGGAUCUUCGGACCUUGCGCGAUUGAAUGAGCCGAUGUCGGUUUAGCUAGUUGGCGGGGUAAAGGCCCACCAAGGCGACGAUCCGUAGCUGGUCUGAGAGGAUGAUCGGCCACAUUGGAACUGAGACACGGUCCAGACUCCUACGGGAGGCAGCAGUGGGGAAUAUUGGGCAAUGGGCGCAAGCCUGAUCCAGCCAUACCGCGUGGGUGAAGAAGGCCUUCGGGUUGUAAAGCCCUUUUGUUGGGAAAGAAAAGCAGCAGGUUAAUACCCCGCUGUUCUGACGGUACCCAAAGAAUAAGCACCGGCUAACUUCGUG